rnacentral:lncRNA from 1 species
UAUGUCACAGUCUCUGCGAAUGGCUUUCUCUUGUUGGUUUUCCUAAUCAUGGGACUGUUGGCUAGUUUAAUCUGCUUUCUUUUUCCACAUAUCAUUGAUUCUGUGCACUGACUUGCUCACUAAUUAUUGGACCUCAUUAAGUAAAUCUUUCAACUUCAUUAAGCCAUAAUUACUUCAUCAAUUGACCGUAAUCAUCAUUAAAGUAUGCACUAUAUGAUGCUUAUAAAUGUCACAACUUAAUUGCCGG